AUUGAACGCCGGCGGCAGGCCUAACACAUGCAAGUCGAGCGGAUGAAGGGAGCUUGCUCCUGGAUUCAGCGGCGGACGGGUGAGUAAUGCCUAGGAAUCUGCCUGGUAGUGGGGGAUAACGUCCGGAAACGGGCGCUAAUACCGCAUACGUCCUGAGGGAGAAAGUGGGGGAUCUUCGGACCUCACGCUAUCAGAUGAGCCUAGGUCGGAUUAGCUAGUUGGUGGGGUAAAGGCCUACCAAGGCGACGAUCCGUAACUGGUCUGAGAGGAUGAUAAGUCACAGUGGAACUGAGACACGGUCCAGACACAGACGGGAGGAAGCAGUGGGUAAUAUUCGAGAAGGGGCUAAAGUCUGAUCCCGACAUGACGCGGGUGGGAAGAAGGGCUUCUGAUAGUAAAGCAAUUUAAGUUGAGAGGAAGAGCAGUAAGUGAAUACCUUGCUGUUAGGACGUGACCAACAAAAUAAGAACCGGAUAACUUCGUG
rnacentral:rRNA from 1 species